GGAAGUAUUGAGCAAUUGGUUGGCUCAUCAGAUUGUAAAUCUGGUUUCAUUAAGAACGUGUAGGUUCGAGUCCUAUUACUUCCA
rnacentral:tRNA from 1 species